rnacentral:rRNA from 1 species
CGGACGGGUGAGUAACGCGUAGGAACCUGACGCGCAGUGGGGGAUAACGCUGGGAAACCGGCGCUAAUACCGCAUGUGGUCGGCAACGAAGAAAGCAGCAAUGCGCUGUGUGAGGGGCCUGCGUCCGAUUAGCUAGUUGGUGGGGUAAAGGCGUACCAAGGCACCGAUCGGUAGCUGGUCUGAGAGGAUGAUCAGCCACACUGGGACUGAGACACGGCCCAG